UACAGAGGUCUCAAGCGUUGUUCGGAUUCAUUGGGCGUAAAGGGUGCGCAGGUGGCGGGGUAAGUCAGGUGUGAAAUCUCGGGGCUCAACCCCGAAACUGCAUUUGAUACUGCCUUGCUCGAGUACUGGAGAGGAGAUUGGAAUUUACGGUGUAGCAGUGAAAUGCGUAGAUAUCGUAAGGAAGACCAGUGGCGAAGGCGAAUCUUUGGACAGUUACUGACACUGAGGCACGAAGGCCAGGGGAGCAAACGGG
rnacentral:rRNA from 1 species